GACGAACGCUGGCGGCGUGCUUAACACAUGCAAGUCGAACGGAAAGGCCCUGCUUUUGUGGGGUGCUCGAGUGGCGAACGGGUGAGUAACACGUGAGUAACCUGCCCUUGACUUUGGGAUACUUCACGAAACUCGGGCUUAUACCCGGUUGGGAUUACUGCUGCAAGGUGGGGGGUGGGACCGUUGGGCGGGUGGGGAUGGAGUCGCGGCUUAUCAGCUUGUUGGUGGGGUAGUGGCUUACCAAGGCUUUGACGGGUAGCCGGCCUGAGAGGGUGACCGGCCACAUUGGGACUGAGAUACGGCCCAGACUCCUACGGGAGGCAGCAGUGGGGAAUAUUGCACAAUGGGCGGAAGCCUGAUGCAGCAACGCCGCGUGCGGGAUGACGGCCUUCGGGUUGUAGACCGCUUUCGCCUGUGACGAAGCGUGAGUGACGGUAAUGGGUAAAGAAGCACCGGCUAACUACGUG
rnacentral:rRNA from 1 species